rnacentral:rRNA from 1 species
UACGUAGGGGGCAAGCGUUGUCCGGAUUUAUUGGGCGUAAAGAGCGUGUAGGCGGCUUGGUAGGUCCGCUGUGAAAACUCGAGGCUCAACCUCGAGAUGUCGGCGGAAACCACUUGGCUAGAGUCCGGAAGAGGCGAGUGGAAUUCCUGGUGUAGCGGUGGAAUGCGCAGAUAUCAGGAGGAACACCAAUAGCGAAGGCAGCUCGCUGGGACGUUACUGACACUGAGGCGCGAAAGCGUGGGGAGCGAACAGG